UACAGAGGUCCCAAGCGUUGUUCGGAUUCACUGGGCGUAAAGGGUGCGUAGGCGGUCGGGUAAGUCUGAUGUGAAAUCUCACAGCUUAACUGUGAAACUGCAUUGGAUACUAUCCGGCUCGAGGAAUGGAGGGGAGACUGGAAUACUUGGUGUAGCAGUGAAAUGCGUAGAUAUCAAGUGGAACACCAGUGGCGAAGGCGGGUCUCUGGACAGUUCCUGACGCUGAGGCACGAAGGUCAGGGGAGCAAACGGG
rnacentral:rRNA from 1 species